AUGGCUUUAUCAUGCACAUAUACUAAAACUGGACAGAUACACAGGAGACUAGCAUGGCCCCUGCACAAGGAUGACACACAAAUCUGUGAAGCGCUCCAUAUUUUC